GGGGCUGAUUCUGGAUUCGACGAGAUUAGCGAACCCCAAGGUGCAUGCCGAGGUGCGGUGGCCUCGUAAAAACCGCAAAAAAAAUAGUUGCAAAAACAACAGAACUAGCACUUUUCUCUAAUGUUCCUGUUAACGAUUCUGUUCACAGUUCAUUAAUGGAGUUAGCAGCCUAAGAAACUGCAAGUGCCCUUUCUCCCUAGCCUCCGCUCUUAGGACGGGGAUCAAGAGAGGUCAAAUUUAAAAGAGAUCGCGUGGAUGCCUUGCUUGGGGUUGAAGCGUUAAACCUAAUCAAGCUAUGUUUGUUAGUGGCGUUGUCCAUCCGCAGUAACAGAUGAACUAACGACUGGACUAAGCAUGUAGUACCGACGGCGUAGUAAUUUCGGACGGGGGUUCAAAUCCCCCCAGCUCCACCA
rnacentral:tmRNA from 1 species